rnacentral:rRNA from 1 species
GACGAACGCUGGCGGCGUGCUUAACACAUGCAAGUCGAACGGAAAGGCCUCUUUCGGGGGGUACUCGAGUGGCGAACGGGUGAGUAACACGUGAGUAACCUGCCCUUGACUUUGGGAUAACUUCAGGAAACUGGGGCUAAUACCGGGUAGGAGCUCCUGCUGCAUGGUGGGGGUUGGAAAGUUUCGGCGGUUGGGGAUGGACUCGCGGCUUAUCAGCUUGUUGGUGGGGUAGUGGCCUACCAAGGCUUUGACGGGUAGCCGGCCUGAGAGGGUGACCGGCCACAUUGGGACUGAGAUACGGCCCAGACUCCUACGGGAGGCAGCAGUGGGGAAUAUUGCACAAUGGGUGGAAGCCUGAUGCAGCAACGCCGUGUGCGGGAUGACGGCCUUCGGGUUGUAAACCGCUUUCGCUCAUGACGAAGCUUUGUGUGACGGUAGUGGGUAAAGAAGCACCGGCUAACUACGUG